rnacentral:rRNA from 1 species
UAGUCCUAGCCGUAAACGAUGUGCAUUUUGUCGGUGGAAGUUCGAUCUUCUGCCUGCCGAAGCGAAAGCGUUAAAUGCACCACCUGGGGAGUACGAUCGCAAGAUUAAAACUCAAAGGAAUUGACGGGGGCUUGCACAAGCGGUGGAGGAUGUGGUUUAAUUUGAUGAUACGCGGAGAACCUUACCUGGGCUUGACAUUCUAGGAUUAUGCCUAUGAAAGUAGGCGGAUUUCCCAUCCGGGAGUAACUAGAACAGGUGUUGCAUGGCUGUCGUCAGCUCGUGUCGUGAGAUGUCGGGUUAAGUCCCUUAACGAGCGAAACCCUCAUGUUUAGUUGCCAACAGGUAAUGCUGGGAACCCUAAACAAACUGCCGUGCAUAACACGGAGGAAGGAGAGGAUGACGUCAAGUCAUCAUGGCCCUUACGCCCAGGGCUACACACGUCCUACAAUGGUACAUACAAUGAGAUGCAAGACCGCAAGGUGGAGCAAAUCUAUAAAGUGUGCCUU